ACACAUAGCAACGUCGAGCGGAUUACGGGAGCUUGCUCCUUGAUUCAGCGGCGGACGGGUGAGUAAUGCCUAGGAAUCUGCCUGGUAGUGGGGGACAACGUUUCGAAAGGAACGCUAAUACCGCAUACGUCCUACGGGAGAAAGCAGGGGACCUUCGGGCCUUGCGCUAUCAGAUGAGCCUAGGUCGGAUUAGCUAGUUGGUGGGGUAAUGGCUCACCAAGGCGACGAUCCGUAACUGGUCUGAGAGGAUGAUCAGUCACACUGGAACUGAGACACGGUCCAGACUCCUACGGGAGGCAGCAGUGGGGAAUAUUGGACAAUGGGCGAAAGCCUGAUCCAGUCCAUGCCGCGUGUGUGAAGAAGGUCUUCGGAUUGUAAAGCACUUUAAGUUGGGAGGAAGGGCAGUAAGCUAAUACCUUGCUGUUUUGACGUUACCGACAGAAUAAGCACCGGCUAACUCUGUGCCAGCAGCCGCGGUAAUACAGAGGGUGCAAGCGUUAAUCGGAAUUACUGGGCGUAAAGCGCGCGUAGGUGGUUUGUUAAGUUGGAUGUGAAAGCCCCGGGCUCAACCUGGGAACUGCAUCCAAAACUGGCAAGCUAGAGUACGGUAGAGGGUGGUGGAAUUUCCUGUGUAGCGGUGAAAUGCGUAGAUAUAGGAAGGAACACCGUGGCGAAGGCGACCACCUGGACUGAUACUGACCUGAGGUGCGAAGCGUGGGGAGCAACCAGAUAGAUACCUG
rnacentral:rRNA from 1 species